GGCCGAAUGGUCUAGAGGUAUGGUCCACGCUUCGGGUGCGAGAGGUCCCGGGUUCGAAUCCCAGCUCGGCUC
rnacentral:tRNA from 1 species